UACGUAGGGUGCAAGCGUUAAUCGGAAUUACUGGGCGUAAAGCGUGCGCAGGCGGUGAUGUAAGACAGAUGUGAAAUCCCAGGGCUCAACCUUGGAACUGCAUUUGUGACUGCAUCGCUGGAGUGCGGCAGAGGGGGAUGGAAUUCCGCGUGUAGCAGUGAAAUGCGUAGAUAUGCGGAGGAACACCGAUGGCGAAGGCAAUCCCCUGGGCCUGCACUGACGCUGAGGCGCGAAAGCUCGGGGAGCGAACGGG
rnacentral:rRNA from 1 species